rnacentral:lncRNA from 1 species
CUCCUGCUAUUUCUAAAGGAAAAGGAUUAAUCCACAUUUAUACUGACUUAUUUUUAUUUCUGAAAUGAAUAAAGGUCUUGGAUUUCAUCCCCAAAGUCUCCUCUCACUUUCACAUGCUCCAUGUCCAUAAUUCUGAUUCUUCUGCGUCCUGUGUUUGCCAAACAGAAUGUGAUAAACAUUCUGAAGCCGAGCUGACCUCAGUUCCAAAGCCAGUGUCUGGGACAACCAAAGGAGCCUGGGAUGCUAGUCCUGCUGACCUUCCCCAGGCUGCCAGCCAAAGGCAGUGAGUGGAGCAAGCUGUUCUUACACAAGUGGGGAAGGUAGAGGGCACUUUCCUAGCUGCCUCAAGGUCAGGAGCAGGUGGGAAAGAAGAGAAGAAAUGGGCACUACAGCAGUCUUGACAUGAAGGAGAGAUAUUGCUCAUCUUUCCCACCGAGUCUGUAGUAUUGGAUGGGCACUCAUGCCGGUAUUUAUUAGAGGCUGUUUAUGACCCUCCGGGGGUCAUCAAGAGCAGCGGGGCUCCUGUCAGACAGGGCUGGGAGACCAGGAGUCUUGCUUAACCGAAAUUGGCCAGGUAAUUGGUAGGCAAUUCGCUUCCUCAGAGGAAUGUCUCGGAGAAGCUCAAUCAUGCAUAGCCCUUCAGCAUCUUCUCUCACUUGCCUUUUUCUUGUGUGUGCAUUUCAGUUCUGGAAAAUGUUACUUGGAAAGUCCCAGUCAAGACAGGAAGCUUGGCAGAAAGAGCCUAGGUCCUGCCCUCAGGGCACUGACGUUCUCUUGUGAGGGUGGAUGCACCAGAUGCAACGGGAAGCAAAUAGGACGAGGUGCCCCACAUAACAAGCCAGAGGGGAUCUGGAUCUCAAAAGAACCAUUCACAUCAUCAUCUUUGAAAGAAGUCCCAACUUACAGGACUGUGAGAACUACAUCACCCUUUUCGAGAAGCAGAGAGAAGGUUGCUCGCCUGUGGGACCAAUGCUCGUCACCCUAGCUGCUGGAAUUUGAACAUGUGGGUCCAGAUGGUUUUCAAAGACUGUAAUUUCAGGGGAUUUUAAACAACACAUUCUUAUUCUGUAAUAGACGGCAUUUGAUCCUCAUUUGAUGUUGGUUCCUGGAAAAUCCCUACCUUUCAAAAUUCAUGAGAGGAUUUGAGUGGUAAUCUAAACAGCUGGUCAUUUUCCUGCUCAAUUCAUUUAAAUCCAGCCAAGAAAAAAUAAAAGGAAGAAAGAAAGAACA